GACGAACGCUGGCGGCGUGCUUAACACAUGCAAGUCGAACGGUGAACUCCGCUUGCGGGGGGAUCAGUGGCGAACGGGUGAGUAACACGUGGGCAACCUGCCCUCAGCUCUGGGAUAACUCCAAGAAAUUGGGGCUAAUACCGGAUAUGACCGCUGACCGCAUGGUCUGGUGGUGGAAAGAUUUAUCGGCUGGGGAUGGGCCCGCGGCCUAUCAGCUUGUUGGUGGGGUAGUGGCCUACCAGGGCGACGACGGGUAGCCGGCCUGAGAGGGUGACCGGCCACACUGGGACUGAGACACGGCCCAGACUCCUACGGGAGGCAGCAGUGGGGAAUAUUGCGCAAUGGGCGAAAGCCUGACGCAGCGACGCCGCGUGGGGGAUGACGGCCUUCGGGUUGUAAACCUCUUUCAGCAGGGACGAAGCGAAAGUGACGGUACCUGCAGAAGAAGCACCGGCCAACUACGUG
rnacentral:rRNA from 1 species